AUUGAACGCUGGCGGCAGGCCUAACACAUGCAAGUCGAACGGUAACAGGAAGAAGCUUGCUUCUUUGCUGACGAGUGGCGGACGGGUGAGUAAUGUCUGGGAAACUGCCUGAUGGAGGGGGAUAACUACUGGAAACGGUAGCUAAUACCGCAUAAUGUCGCAAGACCAAAGAGGGGGACCUUCGGGCCUCUUGCCAUCGGAUGUGCCCAGAUGGGAUUAGCUAGUAGGUGGGGUAACGGCUCACCUAGGCGACGAUCCCUAGCUGGUCUGAGAGGAUGACCAGCCACACUGGAACUGAGACACGGUCCAGACUCCUACGGGAGGCAGCAGUGGGGAAUAUUGCACAAUGGGCGCAAGCCUGAUGCAGCUAUGCCGCGUGUAUGAAGAAGGCCUUCGGGUUGUAAAGUACUUUCAGCGGGGAGGAAGGGAGUAAAGUUAAUACCUUUGCUCAUUGACGUUACCCGCAGAAGAAGCACCGGCUAACUUCGUG
rnacentral:rRNA from 1 species